UCAACUCUCCCUUAUAGACAUCCUUGUGUCCAUAUUAUCACCUAAAAUUCUUGGAUCUUUGGCUCCACCACACCUCUUCUAAAUUGAGGGUAUUUUCCACUUGCUUUUUCGCCAAAAGGAUGUCUUUUUUUUUAUAUUCCUACAAGGGCCUUUUGUUAGUUUCUUAGGCUUCUUAUGGGUUAUUUUUAUUUUGUUUGGAAUAUCACUAAAACCUAUUUAUCCCAUUCAACA
rnacentral:lncRNA from 1 species